GUACUGUGUAGAUGGCUCAUGGCAGC
rnacentral:piRNA from 1 species